rnacentral:rRNA from 1 species
GCGUAGGGAGCAAGCGUUGUCCGGAAUUAUUGGGCGUAAAGGGCGCGUAGGCGGGAUAUUAAGUUAGGUGUGAAAACUGUGGGCUCAACCCAGAGACUGCAGUUAAAACUGGUAUUCUUGAGUACAGGAGAGGAAAGUGGAAUUCCUAGUGUAGCGGUGAAAUGCUUAGAUAUUAGGAGGAACACCAGUUGCGAAGGCAACUUUCUAGACUGUAACUGACGCUGAGGCGCGAAAGCGUGGGGAGUGAACAG